rnacentral:rRNA from 1 species
UGUAGCUUGCUAUAUUUCCUAGCGGCGGACGGGUGAGUAAUGCUUAGGAAUCUGCCUAUUAGUGGGGGACAACGUUUCGAAAGGAACGCUAAUACCGCAUACGCCCUACGGGGGAAAGCAGGGGAUCUUCGGACCUUGCGCUAAUAGAUGAGCCUAAGCCAGAUUAGCUAGUUGGUGGGGUAAAGGCCUACCAAGGCGACGAUCUGUAGCGGGUCUGAGAGGAUGAUCCGCCACACUGGGACUGAGACACGGCCCAGACUCCUACGGGAGGCAGCAGUGGGGAAUAUUGGACAAUGGGGGGAACCCUGAUCCAGCCAUGCCGCGUGUGUGAAGAAGGCCUUUUGGUUGUAAAGCACUUUAAGCGGGGAGGAGGCUCUUCUAGUUAAUACCUAGGAUGAGUGGACGUUACCCGCAGAAUAAGCACCGGCUAACUCUGUGCCAGCAGCCGCGGUAAUACAGAGGGUGCGAGCGUUAAUCGGAUUUACUGGGCGUAAAGCGUACGUAGGCGGCU